UGGAAAUUAAAUAUAUCAUUAAAGUUAUAGAUAUAUUUAACAAAUAUUGAAAGUUCACAAAGAGAAUUUCACAAAACUGAUAAGGUUAAUUACAUACAAAAAUAAAACUAGAGUGUGAUUUGGUAACGCAUUUAAAGUUACGUGCGUCAUUGCUUCAAAAUGAAAAUAAAAAUUCACGCUAAAACAAAUAUAGUGCUAAAUAUGCCAAGUUUGAAAAUAUAUUUGAUAACAUAACCGAAGGUAAAGAAAAUAGUUUUUUGAUUUUCAUACGCAUAAAAGGUUGAAGUUUUAAUAACUUAAGUUACUUGUCAAAAUUUUGCUACCAAACGCUUGAUUGUGAGAAGAUGACGUUCAACAAUUCUAUUUCCAGAUGGUCUGUAAGCGCAACGAAACAGGAUGGACACUCCCAUUCUGCUUCCGACAACAGAAGCCAAAUCACACUUUAUCGUAAUACAUGUGAAUCCCCAUUUUAUAGCUAGAUUGAAUCCUUUUA